rnacentral:rRNA from 1 species
AACGAACGCUGGCGGCGUGGAUUAGGCAUGCAAGUCGAACGAGAAAGGGUUCGCAAGAACCCGAGUAAAGUGGCGAAAGGGUGAGUACUACCUAGGUAACCUACCCUGUUGACGGGGAUAACGACUGGAAACGGUCGCUAAUACCCGAUAAGACCGCGGGAUCGCAUGGUCCUGCGAGGAAACGGUAGCCUCUGCGCAAGCAAGCUUCCGCUACGGGAGGGGCCUCGGGCCUAUCAGCUAGUUGGUGGGGUAACGGCCCACCAAGGCGGGGACGGGU